rnacentral:lncRNA from 1 species
GAGCUAGAAAAUCUGAAGAGAACCCAUAUCGUUGACACACCUGAACACAAUAAACCCUAGAGUGUAACGCUAAGUCUUAUAUUUUGAAUCUCACUAAAGUGCCUUAAUAUUGUAUAUUUAUUACUGAAUUGAAUGCUCGUAAUGGAGCGUCUUGAUGAGCUAAUCUGGAAUGAGUCAUAUGCCAUGUGUGGUGAGGCUUUUGUGUAGUCCAUGUAUUGUACAUGUAUCUAGAACUUGCCCGGUAUGUGAGUUGAAGUGAAAUUUUAGGUGAUGCUCGGUUUGAAAAAUGAUUUUAGG